UUACGGCCAUAACACAUUGAAACACAAGUUCACGUAUGAUCAACAAAGUUAAGCAAUGUUAAGCCUAGUUAGUAACUAGAUGAGUGACUGCUUGGGAAUACCAGAUGCUGUAAG